GUCUCAGGAUGGCGAGCAGCAGCGGCUCUAAAGCCGAAUUUAUCGUCGGAGGGAAAUACAAACUGGUGCGGAAGAUCGGAUCUGGCUCCUUCGGGGACAUUUAUCUGGCGAUCAACAUCACCAAUGGCGAGGAAGUGGCAGUGAAGCUAGAAUCCCAGAAGGCCAGGCAUCCCCAGUUGCUGUACGAGAGCAAAUUGUAUAAGAUUCUUCAAGGUGGGGUUGGCAUCCCUCACAUACGGUGGUAUGGACAAGAAAAAGACUAUAACGUGCUAGUCAUGGAUCUUCUGGGGCCCAGCCUUGAAGAUCUCUUCAAUUUCUGUUCAAGAAGGUUCACUAUGAAGACUGUACUUAUGUUAGCUGACCAGAUGAUCAGUAGGAUUGAAUAUGUGCACACAAAGAAUUUUAUACACAGAGACAUUAAACCAGAUAACUUCCUAAUGGGUAUUGGGCGUCACUGUAAUAAGUGUUUAGAAUCUCCAGUGGGGAAGAGGAAAAGAAGCAUGACUGUUAGUCCUUCUCAGGACCCAUCUUUCUCAGGAUUAAACCAGUUAUUCCUUAUUGAUUUUGGUUUGGCCAAAAAGUACAGAGACAACAGGACAAGGCAACACAUACCAUACAGAGAAGAUAAAAAUCUGACUGGCACUGCCCGAUACGCUAGCAUCAAUGCACAUCUGGGUAUUGAACAGAGUCGCCGAGAUGACAUGGAAUCUUUAGGAUAUGUUUUGAUGUAUUUUAAUAGAACCAGUCUGCCCUGGCAAGGGCUAAAGGCUGCAACAAAGAAACAGAAAUAUGAAAAGAUUAGUGAAAAGAAGAUGUCCACUCCUGUUGAAGUUUUGUGUAAGGGGUUUCCUGCAGAAUUUGCCAUGUACUUAAAUUACUGUCGUGGGCUGCGCUUUGAGGAAGCUCCGGAUUACAUGUAUCUGAGGCAGCUAUUCCGCAUCCUUUUCAGGACCCUGAACCACCAAUACGACUAUACAUUUGAUUGGACGAUGUUAAAGCAGAAAGCAGCACAGCAGGCAGCCUCUUCCAGUGGGCAGGGUCAGCAGGCCCAAACCCCCACAGGUAUUAAAGACGAGAAGUUGGAUCCACUGAGUUAGUAUGUUUCCUUGGAAAAGAAAAGUGAUUAAACUUAAGUUUAAGCUGCCUUCUGUAUCGUAACUUUUUCAUAAAAGUAACUUAAAUCAUAAAACAGUUACAACAUCAAUAGACACAGUGGUCGUGCAAAUUAUGACAUGUACAUGAACCUACAGUGUUCUGAAAUAUGAAAUUUUCAGUAAAUACCUUAAUGACUGCUUUCAGAAGGUACAUUUCUAAGACGAGGUUCAGUGACAUGAAUGCUUAUAGUCUUAGCUACUGGGAGGUUGAGAUGAGGAUUGCUUAAGUUAAUGACCAGUGUUCCUUCUCAAAGGUGGGGGGGAUGGGUUACUAAGAGGGUUUUUGUUGUUUUUUGGGGGUUUGUUUUAUUUUUAUUUUUUACCUUGAGCAAAAUACUGCUCGCCACUAAAAUACGUCAGUCUGGGGCUAGAAAGUUAGCUAAGUUGGAAAGUGCUUGCUUUGUAUGAAUGUGGACCUGAGUUCAGGUUUCUAGAACCUCCAUUUUAAAAGCCAGCAAGGACUGGGAAGUGUUUGGCACACACACCCUAAAUCCCAGCACUUGGCAUAGAGCAAGCAGAUUUCUGUGAGUUUGAGGCCAACCUCAAAAUGGUGAGACCGGAGACCCUGUCUCAGCAACAAAGCUAGCAAGCUGUUACGAGGUUUGCUUAUCCGUCCAGCUCCGGCUAGCAGGGUGGAGACAGGCAAAACCUUGGGACUUUCUGGCUGGCCCUACCUAUAAAGCCUAAUCAAUAAGCUCUGACCUAGUGGAAGACCCCAACUCCAAAAAAUAAAAGACAUCAGAGGGACCACCACCAGACUUGACUCCUGACCAUGACCCCGCACAGAGAUGUACAACAAGCUGUGCCACUACCCAGAAUAUUCAGUAAAAGAGGUGGACUUUCGACUCCUUAACAUUCGUGAAUUUAGUGUUCAUACAGAAAGCUAAGAAAAAUGCACAUGCCCUAAGAGUGGUAUGAAAUAAGCAUGAGAAAAUUAGUCUUAGACCCUCUGCUACUCACAUUAUAUAGGUAGUUCCAAAAUAGGAUGUAUAAAACAAUACUUAGUUUCUGCUACUUUAGCUUUUGAUCUCAUGGAAUCUUCCAAUAAUGGUAUCAUCAUAUUAUUUCUCAGCUCAAAAAUUAUAGAAAGUAGCCAGGCAGUGGUGGUACUACCUGUAGUCCCAGCACUUAGGAGGCAAAGGCAGGUGGAGCUCAGUGAGUUCUAGGACAGCUAGAACUGUUACACAGAGAAACUCUGUCUUGAAAAAUACAAAAUGAAACAAAAAAUUAUAGCAGGUGGUGACUCAUAACCUUUAAUCCGAGACUUGGGAGUAGAAGGAUGGAUCUGGUUGAGGAUCACUCGGGCUAUAUAGUGAGACUCUCAAAGACCAAAAUAAAAUGAGUAAAAGAUACCCCUUAAGACAUACAGCUUCCUCCCCUUUUGAUGAUAAUCUCAUAUGCUUGUAUAUAUCAAUGAAUUCAGUUCAUAAAUCUUUAGCAAUCAGGCCUCUAAAAGUUCUCUUCUGGAAAGAUCUUCUAAAUGUUGGCAUUAUUUUUUAUAAGUUCUUUAGGGUUUUGUGAGGGUUUCUGUUUUUUUGACUACUCGGCAGUUAUUUUUUUAAGCGUAUGUUUCUUUCAUAGAUAUUACAGAAAUUUCUAGCCACUUAGAGUGUUUAAGUGUUCUUAAAAAUCUUGAUCAUGCUGGGCGCACACCUUUAAUCCCAGCACUUUGGAGGCAGAGUGAAUCUCUGUGAGUUCGAGGCCAGCGUGGUCUACAAGAGCUAGUUCCAGGACAGACUCCAAAGCUACAGAGAAACCCUGUCUCAAAAUAUGUAAAAUAUAUAUUAUAUAUAUAUGUGUGUGUAAUAUAUAUAUAUGUGUGUGUGUGUGCUCAUUUAGCUAGUGUAUGCUUCUUAUAUCAUAGGUGGAUUCUCUGCUCUGAUAACUUUGCAUUAGGCCUUUCAGUUACUGCAUUCCAAAGCCAAUCAAGACCAAGAGAAAGGAUUUCCCCUAAUGUCUCUUAGGCUUUUUCUUAUAGUGCUGAAGUGCCCCUAAGAUUGAAUUUUUUGCUUCUCUUUGUAUAGUAAAGAAAAGAUGAAAAACUUCUCCCUCUGAACAUUUGACAAUCAUUUAAUAAGUGUUCUUCUACUGUUGAUGAUUGUCAGAAAGGUACUUGUUUAUGACCUAGAAGAGACAUAUUUUAUGAACAUUUAAAUAAUUCAGUUAGUUCUGAUAACCCACAAGUAGCUGAUGCAGUAGAACAAGUUUGAGAGUGGCCUUGACCUUCUAAGACUUAAGUGUUUUCUCUCACACUAACCUACCUCUGUCAGUGAUCCCUAGAAGCCUAAAGGGCUUUACCAUGUGUAGUUUAACAUUUUCUGACUUCACCAACUGCUGCCAGGAACACAGCUGAUAAUUCAGCAACUUAACCCAAAACAGGAAAGGGAAGACCUAGCGAUGCCUGGAGAAACUGACUUACCCUCAAUACACUCAGUCCAAAGAAGACCUGGGAACUGAAUCUUUGCUGAAACCUGGGAUUUUCGUCAGCUUUUCUCAUUGUGGACAGUAAAACUGAAGAGAGCGACAAAAGAAAUGAAGAAAGUGCAAGAGACCUUCAAGGCUCCCUGGGCCUGUUAACUCUCAGCUCAGGUUCUGUGAUGGCUGUCAGAAGGCCUGGGAGAGCGCUGUGUAAUGCCCACCAUCUGCCAGUUGGGACAAAUUCCUUUGUAACAGGAAAAGAAGAGGUUCAUUCCUCAUUUUAACUGAUGUCAGUGAAGAUUUACUCUGGAUCCACAAGUGCUACCCAGGCUGCAAGAUUUUUAAAACAAAAACCAAAGCACAGUGGAAGAGACUGUGCUUAGUGGUGGUUGAAGACUGAAUGUUGGAGGCCUGCUAUUGUGUUUUUCCUUCUUGAUUACCAUCCAAGAACCGCUCAUUUGAGGGAUGUCACCUGGGUAGAAAGAACAUCCUACCAUUGACCUGUCUAGCUGAAGAACUCAAACUGGAUUUGACUACUUUAUU